rnacentral:tRNA from 1 species
GGAGAGGUGGAUGAGUCGGCUUAAAUCGCACGCCUGGAAAGCGUGUAUAGGCCUGAAAAGCCUAUCGGGGGUUCGAAUCCCCCCCUCUCCG